GGAGGACAGACCACACUGUGGCCAAACAGGAAAGCCUUCCAUCUGACUCGGGGUGGGGAUGUAAUGGGAAAGGCGGCGGGCUCACAGAUUUACAGAAACAGGAUGGAGCGCCCCAGACAGACCCACGCUCUGGAAAUGCCCGGGAUGAGUGAGAGGUCCUCUGAAGUUGUUUGAUCAUUAUGAUUGUCAAACACUAGCAAUUGUGCCCACUGAUUUUCCUAAGGAAGUGUUGGAAUGUUAAUAAAACUCCAGGAACCUCUAUGUGCUGUUGAUGGGACUGUAAGGAAAAGGUUAUUUUGAUUCUUCAAAAAAA
rnacentral:lncRNA from 1 species